CCAAGUAUGGCGUUGUAGGUCGAAGACAUCUGGACGACCGUGAAAGUCAAAUGGACUGUGCUUUGUCGUGGUUCGGUACCAACCGUCACGGGUAGAGUCACUUCUCCUUCCAUCGUGAUAGCGUCCCCAGCGAAGCCUAUCAAGGGCGUAGAGACUCUGUUGAGUCGGUCGGUCGAUAGUCGCAUCCGAGAAAAGAUCGAGUAAAACAAAACGUUCGUUGAACUUUCAUUAUCUACAAAGAUUCUUUUUACAUCAUAG
rnacentral:lncRNA from 1 species